CAGAGGGGGCAAGCGUUAUUCGGAAUUAUUGGGCGUAAAGGGCGCGUAGGCGGCUUUUCAAGUGACGGGUGAAAUCCCUCGGCUUAACCGAGGAACUGCAUGUCAGACUGGAAGGCUUGAGACCGGGAGAGGUGAGUGGAAUUCCCAGUGUAGCGGUGAAAUGCGUAGAUAUUGGGAGGAACACCAGUGGCGAAGGCGGCUCACUGGACCGGAACUGACGCUGAGGCGCGAAAGCGUGGGGAGCAAACAGGAUUAGAUACCCUGGUAGUCCACGCCGUAAACGAUGAGUGCUUGGUGUAGCGGGUAUCGACCCCUGCUGUGCCGAAGUCAACACAUUAAGCACUCCGCCUGGGGAGUACGGUCGCAAGACUG
rnacentral:rRNA from 1 species